UUGCAUCAAGAAAAUUUCAGUAGAUGCCUUAUUUUGGCUCCUCUGAAAAAUCGCUGGUGCAACAGAAACUUUGGAUUCCAAGAUGGCCUCUUUUUCUGUAAGAGGUUGUCAUUUCACCCCAAGAACAUCA
rfam:Crassostrea gigas strain 05x7-T-G4-1.051#20 contig17386, whole genome shotgun sequence.